GACGAACGCUGGCGGCGUGCCUAAUACAUGCAAGUUGAGCGCUGAAGGUUGGUACUUGUACCAACUGGAUGAGCAGCGAACGGGUGAGUAACGCGUGGGGAAUCUGCCUUUGAGCGGGGGACAACAUUUGGAAACGAAUGCUAAUACCGCAUAAAAACUUUAAACACAAGUUUUAAGUUUGAAAGAUGCAAUUGCAUCACUCAAAGAUGAUCCCGCGUUGUAUUAGCUAGUUGGUGAGGUAAAGGCUCACCAAGGCGAUGAUACGUAGCCGACCUGAGAGGGUGAUCGGCCACAUUGGGACUGAGACACGGCCCAAACUCCUACGGGAGGCAGCAGUAGGGAAUCUUCGGCAAUGGACGAAAGUCUGACCGAGCAACGCCGCGUGAGUGAAGAAGGUUUUCGGAUCGUAAAACUCUGUUGGUAGAGAAGAACGUUGGCGAGAGUGGAAAGCUCAUCAAGUGACGGUAACUACCCAGAAAGGGACGGCUAACUACGUG
rnacentral:rRNA from 1 species